rnacentral:rRNA from 1 species
AGCGAACGCUGGCGGCAGGCUUAACACAUGCAAGUCGAACGGGCAUCUUCGGAUGUCAGUGGCAGACGGGUGAGUAACACGUGGGAACGUACCCUUCGGUUCGGAAUAACUCAGGGAAACUUGAGCUAAUACCGGAUACGCCCUUUUGGGGAAAGGUUUACUGCCGAAGGAUCGGCCCGCGUCUGAUUGGCUUGUUGGUGGGGUAACGGCCUACCAAGGCGACGAUCAGUAGCUGGUCUGAGAGGAUGAUCAGCCACACUGGGACUGAGACACGGCCCAGACCCCUACGGGGGGCAGGAUGGGGGAUAAUGGGACAUUGGGGGGAAGCCUGACCCAGCCUGGCCGGGGGGGGGGGGAAGGCCUUGGGGUGGAAAAGCUUUUUUGUCCGGGACGAUAAUGACGGUACCGGAAAAAAAAGCCCCGGCUAACUUCGG